GAAGGCGGAAUCUCAGCGAUUUAGUUUUGCUUUUCGGCCCGACUUGUGACCACUUGGAGCGCCAUGUGGAUUCCAAACCGGAAUAGCUUCAGUUGCUCGAGAUAUAUUCGUCAUGUACGCAGGUGGAAAAUAUUGCGCUCCUCGGCAUUGCAGUUUCUAUAUCAUUGCAUUCCUUAUCUGCCAGUUGGUUUUCUUAGUGAUAUUUAUACGGAAUGAUCGCAAUGAUGAUAUAAACGCCGGUGAACUGUUAGCUUACAAAAAUGAGAGUUUUUAUAACUACCUGGAUUGGCGCUUAUUCAUAUCCCAUACACCAGAAACAUCGGAGGAUUUUUACCAAUACAAUAUUCAUUUGAGUAAUGCUGUGGGUCUUAUACGUAAGUUGCCCGUAACAAGGCAUUCUAGUUGCACCACACGAAAUCCUAUACUUCCAUCCCCUUUGGAGGCCAAUGUGAGUGUGGUGAUCAGUUUUCACAAUGAAGCGCGUUCUAUGCUGCUGCGCACCAUUGUUUCCCUGCUGAGUCGCACGCCGGAGGACUAUCUGCAUGAGCUAAUCCUUGUGGACGACGGCAGUCAGCGGGAUGUGACCCUGCUGGAUGACCUCAAGCGAUGGAUGGGCGCAGUGUUCGGGUCGAGAUAUCGCCUGGGGCUCAUCUUCCUCAGGAACCAGGAGCGCAUGGGCCUGAUUUGGUCGCGCAACAGGGGCGCCUCCCUGGCCAGUGGACGCUAUGUGCUCUUCCUGGACAGCCACUGCGAGGUGAACGAGGGCUGGCUAGAGCCACUGCUGGAGCGACUGGCACGCAAUACCAAUCUGGCGGUUAGUCCACUACUUGACCCCAUUGACCCGACCACCCUAAGCUACCGGAAAGGCAAUGAGAUGCUGAAGGGUGGAUUUGACUGGUCCCUACACUUCCACUGGCUGAAACGCAAGCUGGCCAACCAGGAGCGCCUGGAGAUGCCCUACCAGAGUCCUGUCUUCGCUGGCGGCGUAUUGAUGAUGUCACGCGAAUGGUUCCUUAAGCUGGGCAGCUUCAACCCGUAUCUGAAGAUCUGGGGCGGCGAGUCCAUCGAGCUGGCCAUUAAAUUGUGGCUUUGCGGUGGACAAAUUGAGAUCGUGCCCUGCAGUCGAAUCGGACACAUCUUUCGCCGCCGCCACGCCUUCGACUUUCCACCGCAAUCCGACCGUCAGUUGAGCCCGGCCCAGGAAACCUAUCUGCACAACUCAAAAAUCAUAGCCGAGUCCUGGCUGGACGAGUAUAAAAAUAUGUUCUACGCACUGAGGCCGGCGGCCAGGCGAAUUCCACUGGAUCACACCUAUGAUGAGCUGCAGCGGAUACGGACGGAACGGCGGUGUCAUCCCUUCGAAUGGUAUCUGCGGCAUGUCAGCCCCGAACUAAGGAUGCACUUCGAUGAGCUGUCGGCCACGGGAACGUUGCGGAAUGAGGAUCGGUGUGUGCACGCCAGACAAAAGGACUCCCAGCCGAUCCUGGCAAGCUGCUACCUCAGCGACAUCACCCAGUGGAGCAUGCUGCGCCAGAGUGGACAGCUGAGCACCCAUCGGGAGUUCUGUCUGGCUGUGGGGUUCGGGAUGCGAAUAGCACUGGAGGCGUGCGGGCGGAAUGAGACCGCGAGGAGGUCGCAGCGAUGGGUGCGCCUCGGCACCCAUCUCCUGCACGCCGAGACGCACCUGUGCCUGGAUAAUCCGCUCAAGGACCGAUUGGUGAUGAGCACCUGCCGUUCGCAUGCCGUAUCGCAGUCGUUUCAAUUUGCAUUGGAAAUGGAGGGGCAGACAUAAACUUGGCUAAUGAUACUGAAACUGAAUCCGAACGGCAACGAUACUGAUACUGAUUCGAUGAACCUGAGCCUCUUAGUUGCCGGGGUUCAGGUGGCUGAGUUUGUGGGCCGAAUCUCUGGGCAUGCAGAUUACGGAGGCUCCGGUUGAGGGGAAGCAGUAAAUUAUGGCGCCAUGGAUAUACGAAAAGGUGCUUCUGCACCAACUCCAGUCGCUCUUUUUUUCCCGCUCCGCAGCCUUUGUUGCCGGAGUCGGACUAUCAAGACUCGCAGCGCUUCCUGUCGCAUCCGUCACACGAGACAGGACACAAUGGUUUCGUGGGGCGGGGCGGGAGUUGGGGGCAGAUGUGGGGGCGUGGCCAGAUAAAAGCCAACGACGCCGCGCGUAUUGUGCGGCUUGUUUAGGCGGUCCUGUCAUCAGUCAGCGAACAAAAGCGAGGCAUCCUUCGGCUGCAAGGAGUCAGUCGCAAAUGUAAUUGAGUUGAUGACAAUGCCACUGACUGCCCGGCUCGCGCUUCCGGCAAUUUUGAUGGCCUCCGGAUGCCGGCGACAAAAAGCGGCGACUCCGGAAACAAGUCCAAAUAAAACAGGGACAGUGGCAGUUAGAGCAACAGUAGCAGAAAAUGCCAGCAGAAAACAGAAGUUCAUGGUGUGGCUGCCGUUGGAGAAUUUCCAAAGUGCAGUUGCAACUUAAGAUUUGUUUUGUUUCACCAUUCUUGCGGUAAUAAAGCGUAAAAGUUAAUUUUGUAUCUCAACAAUGGCAA
rnacentral:misc_RNA from 1 species